GAGAGCUCGGCCCCACAUCCUGAUGUGCCGUCACUUUCUGUUUUCUCUGAAGUGACGACUGAAGUGACUGAGACCGCUGAGACGGCACAGUCUGAAGCUGCUACUGAUAACUCAGUUGAGCAGGCCAUGCUUAAGGAGCUGGAGGCGAUGGGCUUCAUGCAUGUUGAUCUGAACAAGGAGGUGCUCAGGGAGAAAGAGUACAAUUUGGAGCAAUCUGUGGAUGAGCUUUGUGACUUUGCCGAGUGGGACCCACUUCUCACCGAGCUGCAGGGAAUGGGUUUUCAUGACAAGAAGCGCAACAAGAAGCUGCUGGUUAAGAAUGGUGGGAGCAUCAAGAGGGUCGUACUGGAUCUCAUUUCUGAUGAGAAGGACAAGGAUGAGUAGGAGGGU
rnacentral:misc_RNA from 1 species